rnacentral:rRNA from 1 species
AGAGUUUGAUCAUGGCUCAGAUUGAACGCUGGCGGCAGGCCUAACACAUGCAAGUCGAGCGGUAGCACAAGAGAGCUUGCUCUCUGGGUGACGAGCGGCGGACGGGUGAGUAAUGUCUGGGGAACUGCCUGAUGGAGGGGGAUAACUACUGGAAACGGUAGCUAAUACCGCAUAACGUCUUCGGACCAAAGUGGGGGACCUUCGGGCCUCACGCCAUCAGAUGUGCCCAGAUGGGAUUAGCUAGUAGGUGGGGUAAUGGCUCACCUAGGCGACGAUCCCUAGCUGGUCUGAGAGGAUGACCAGCCACACUGGAACUGAGACACGGUCCAGACUCCUACGGGAGGCAGCAGUGGGGAAUAUUGCACAAUGGGCGCAAGCCUGAUGCAGCCAUGCCGCGUGUGUGAAGAAGGCCUUCGGGUUGUAAAGCACUUUCAGCGAGGGGGAAGGGUAGUGUGUUAAUAGCACAUUGCAUUGACGUUACUCGCAGAAGAAGCACUGGCUAACUCCGUGCCAGCAGCCGCGGUAAUACGGAGGGUGCAAGCGUUAAUCGGAAUUACUGGGCGUAAAGCGCACGCAGGCGGUUUGUUAAGUCAGAUGUGAAAUCCCCGCGCUUAACGUGGGAACUGCAUUUGAAACUGGCAAGCUAGAGUCUUGUAGAGGGGGGGUAGAAUUCCAGGUGUAGCGGUGAAAUGCGUAGAGAUCUGGAGGAAUACCGGUGGCGAAGGCGGCCCCCUGGACAAAGACUGACGCUCAGGUGCGAAAGCGUGGGGAGCAAACAGGAUUAGAUACCCCGGUAGACC